rnacentral:rRNA from 1 species
AUGAACGUUGGCGGCGUGCCUAACACAUGCAAGUCGAGCGUGAAAGUCCUUCGGGAUGAGUAAAGCGGCGGACGGGUGAGUAACGCGUGAGAAUUUCCCUUUCAGUGAAGAAUACCUUUGAGAAAUUAAAGUUAAUACUGCAUACGUCUCGAUAAGAGAGAAAGAUGGCCUAAUUGCUGUCGCUGAAAGAUAAGCUUGCGUUCUAUUAGCUAGUUGGUGAGGUAAUGGCUCACCAAGGCGAUGAUGGAUAGCCGGCCUGAGAGGGCGAACGGCCACAUUGGAACUUAGACACGGUCCAAACUCCUACGGGAGGCAGCAGUGAGGAAUAUUGCACAAUGGGCGAAAGCCUGAUGCAGCGACGCCGCGUGGAGGAUGACGGUCUUCGGAUUGUAAACUCCUGUUAAGUGUGAAAAAAGAGUCGUUUUUAAUAGAAACGAAAGAUGAUGGUAACACUAGAGAAAGCACCGGCUAACUUCGU